CAGCGAGAUUCAACCACAGUAUUUUUGUUGACUUUUUUCGUGUUUGACAAAGACGUUAUUUGAUAUCGAGGCAGUUCUGGAAUUGUACCAGCACCCUCGAUAUCCCAAUUUCAAUCUUCCGAAACCAACAAGAUUAAAAGUACCUAGACGGAAACCCAUACAAAUGCAAGGAAGAAUUUUAUAAUUUAAGUUAAAUAUUGUAUUGAAAAUUUCAAAUUAAGCGGUACAUCACAAAUGAAUCUACACAAAGUCAAGAUUACCCUUGGAGUUGCAUUUUUCUUAAAAAUAUAUCAGAACGUUUCAACGAUCAUCUAUCAUUCAAGCAGCAGGAUUCACGUAGACAAAAUGCAUUGUACACAGCGAGAUUCAACCACAGUAUUUUUGUUGACUUUUUUCGUGUUUGACAAAGACGUUAUUUGAUAUCAAGGCAGUUCUGGAAUUGUACCAGCACCCUCGAUAUCCCAAUUUCAAUCUUCCGAAACCAACAAGAUUAAAAGUACCUAGACGGAAACCCAUACAAAUACAACGAAGAAUUUUAUAAUUUAAGUUAAAUAUUGUAUUGAAAAUUUCAAAUUAAGCGGUACAUCACAAAUGAAUCUACACAAAGUCAAGAUUAGCCCAGGAGUUGCAUUUUUCU